rnacentral:lncRNA from 1 species
GGGACACCCCCGUGACCCCCCCAAGGCCACGGGGGGUCCCCAGGGGGGUGUCCUGGUGCCCCCCCCCAAGGCCACAGGGUGUCCCCAUAAGGCCACAGGGUGCCACCACGGGGGGGGGGGGUACCCCCGGGGUGUCCCCGAAAGGCUCUGGGACCCCCCCCCCGCUGUCCCCCCUGUCCCCAUAAGGCUCCGCGUCCCGUAAGGAUGGAAAGGCCCCAAAAUGUCCCCGCAGGGCGGGGGGGGGAUGGUGGGGGUGUCCCCAUAGGGACCCCAAGGCCACCCCAAGGCCACCCCGUGUCCCUUGGGGACCUGGGGACCCCCGGGACAUCCCCUGGGGACACCCCGGGCGUCCCCAUAAGGCUCUGGGAUGACCCCACAGGUCCCGGCCUGACCCCAAAGGGCUUGGGGACAUCCCUGUCCCCAGAGGUUUUGGGGCCACCUUGACCCUACAAGACCUGGGGACAUCCCCCCCCUGUCCCUAGAGACAGCCCCAGAGGUUUUGGGGCCGUCCCCAGGUCCCUGGGGGGUCCUGGCUUAACCCUGCAGCUUUUGGGGCCAGCCCCCUGACCCCAGAGGUUUUGGGGCUACCCCCAGAGGCAUUGGGGCCGUCCCCAGCUCCCUGCAGGCCCCACUUUGUCCCCACAGCUCUGGAGUCGACCCCACAAAUUUGGGGUGUCCCCCCCCAACUCCUUUAGGGCCGUCUCCACAUCCUGUCCCGCGACCCCACAGGUCCUGAGGAGAGAGGGGGUGCAGGGGGGGCACCCCUACAACAGGUCCCAUCCCAACACCGACCCCACAGGUCCUUUAGGGCCGACCCCACGUCCUGUGCCGUGACCCCACAGGUCCUGAGGAGCGAGGGGGUGCAGGGGGGGGCGCCCCUAAACAGGUCCCAUCCCAACACCGACCCCACAGGGUCCUGGGGGGGCAGGGGGGGCACCUACACCAGGUCCCAUCCCAGUACCAACCCCGCAGGGAGCACAACGGGGACCGGAGGGACUGGGGUGGGGGGAGUCCAAUAGUUGCUGGGUCCACACCCCCCGUUUUGAGGAGA